rnacentral:lncRNA from 1 species
GUCACAUUCUUAUUUUGCCACUGGAUAUGAUUCCACGGCUUUGAAAUCAUCAUCUCCUAACAAUGAGAACCCAGAAAUAAGACGAGGCAAUUCGGUUUAUGCCACAAAUGCAGAUAAGGUAAAUCACAUUUUGGAUCUCGGAAGAUUCGAAAUUCUUGGAGCGUGAUGAUUUUCUGGAUCGGGAUCUACGCGGGUGGCAGCACCUUCUUGUCCCUUUAGAGUAACGGAGAUCAUUUGCCCGUACUUUUCCUUCAAAACGUGCAUGAUCU